rnacentral:rRNA from 1 species
UGGCGGACGGGUGAGUAACGCGUGGGCAACCUGCCUUACACAGGGGGAUAACAGCUAGAAAUGGCUGCUAAUACCGCAUAAGACCUCAGUACCGCAUGGUAGAGGGGUAAAAACUCCGGUGGUGUAAGAUGGGCCCGCGUCUGAUUAGGUAGUUGGUAGGGUAACAGCCUACCAAGCCGACGAUCAGUAGCCGACCUGAGAGGGUGACCGGCCACAUUGGGACUGAGACACGGCCCAA